CCCUCAUUGUUCGCCCCACAAGCCGGGGCUUUUAUCUCCCUCUGCUGUGUCUGCGCGUAACACUGUACCAGGUAAUGAAAGGGUUUUUCUUGUGUUUCUGUUCUUUGUUUCCAGGGAACAACGGAGAAAGGGCAUUUCCGGACCAGCAAACGCGUCCCCAGAAGCAGGGUGCGCUGGCCCCCGAGAGCCUGGGUGGGUGCCAGGCUGUAAGAGAACACGGCGAUUGCAUUCACCCAGUGGAGCUGGAUCGGCUGGAAACAGUGCCGGGGACAAUGACGUGCUGGGCCGCCGCUGUCCCGAGAUCAGAAGUGAGGCGGUGCGCACCUGUCUCAGGAGUGCGGCUGGCCGUGCACCCUGAGGUAGAACAGGUGUCUCUGCAGUGCGCUCUGCGUCCUGACUGUGCCAGCUAGCUGCCCCGGGGCUCCCGUCCCUCCCGCCAGAGACUGUGAGCUCAGUCCUCUACAGACAGGCAAGGGUGUCCAUCUGGUCGGGACAGCAAGGGUCCUGUUGAGACCUCUCCCACACCGAGCACGGACAUUUCUGUGUGCUGUCCUUGUCCUCUCCUGCCUGUCCCCUUCUGUUCCCUGCCACUGUCCCCCCACCCUCUCCUCUUCCUCCCCCCGCCAUGAUGCCCUCCGCCCGUGGUGCCGUCUGCCUCCCUCUGCGGACCCCGGCGGCCAGCUGCUGCUUUCUGGUCUUUGCCAGUAAUAACAUCAGCCAAGCUAACGCACGAGCUGCUUCCCAGAGUCCGCAGACAGCCCCUGGCUUCACGCUGCCCUCUAUCCCUCGCGUCAGCCCCCUGCAAAUGACAGCGGCAGGAGCUGGAUUACCUUUAUAAGGUGCAUUUAUUGGGCUUUAAUAAACACUGUGCCUUCUCAAGCAUCACAUAUUUUUAAAAUUAUUUUUUGGCUGAUCGAUAUACAGUAAAGCUUUUAAAGGGCUUAUGCCGUCUCUGCUGCAUCUUUACUAUCACAGAGCCGGGGAGUAGAAUGUGAGAAUAAUAACACCACUUACUCUAAUUAUCUCCUUAACCACCGGGCAAGAAUAAAU
rnacentral:lncRNA from 1 species